rnacentral:rRNA from 1 species
UCAGGACGAACGCUGGCGGCGGGCUUAACACAUGCAAGUCGAAGGAGAACCACGCUUUCGGGCGUGGGGAGACUGGCGCACGGGUGAGUAACGCGUAGAUAACCUGCCUAUAGCUGGGGGAUAACCACGCGAAAGCGUGGCUAAUACCGCAUAAUGCAGCGGGGCCGCAUGGCCAUGGUUGUUAAAGCUUUCGGGCGGCUAUAGAUGGGUCUGCGUGCCAUUAGUUAGUUGGUAGGGUAAUGGCCUACCAAGGCGAUGAUGGCUAGGGGGUCUGAGAGGAUGAUCCCCCACACUGGGACUGAGACACGGCCCAGACUCCUACGGGAGGCAGCAGUGAGGAAUCUUGCGCAAUGGAGGAAACUCUGACGCAGCCACGCCGCGUGCCGGAAGACGGCCCUAUGGGUUGUAAACGGCUUUUAAUUGGAAGAAGGAUAGGGUUUUAUCUA